GACGAACGCUGGCGGCGUGCUUAACACAUGCAAGUCGAACGGAAAGGCCCUGCUUUUGUGGGGUGCUCGAGUGGCGAACGGGUGAGUAACACGUGAGUAUCCUGCCCUUGACUUUGGGAUAACUUCAGGGAACUGGGGCGAAUACCGGAUAGGAGCUCCUGCUGCAUGUUGGGGGUUGGAAAGUGUCGGCGGUUGGGGAUGGACUCGCGGCUUAUCAGCUGGUUGGUGGGGUAGUGGCUGACCAAGGCUUUGACGGGUAGCCGGCCUGAGAGGGUGGCCGGCCACAUUGGUACUGAGAUACGGCCCAGAAUCCUACCGGAGGCAGCAGUGGGGAAUAUUGCACAAUGGGCGGAAGCCUGAUGCAGCAGCGCCGCGUGCGGGAUGACGGCCUUUGGGUUGUGAACCGCUUUCGCCUGUGACGAAGCGUGAGUGACGGUACUGGGUAAAGAAGCCACGGCUAACUACGUG
rnacentral:rRNA from 1 species